CAGCACCUCAAGUGGUCAGGAUGAUUAUUGGGCCUAAAGCAUCCGUAGCCGGCGCUGUAAGUUUUCGGUUAAAUCUGUACGCUCAACGUACAGGCUGCCGGGAAUACUGCAGCGCUAGGGAGUGGGAGAGGUAGACGGUACUCGGUAGGAAGGGGUAAAAUCCUUUGAUCUAUUGAUGACCACCUGUGGCGAAGGCGGUAUACCAGAACACGUCCGACGGUGAGGGAUGAAAGCUGGGGGAGCAAACCGGAUUAGAUACCCGUGUAGUCC
rnacentral:rRNA from 1 species